rnacentral:rRNA from 1 species
AUUGUACGCUGGCGGCAUGCCUUACACAUGCAAGUCGAACGGUGACAGGUCUUCGGAUGCUGACGAGUGGCGAACGGGUGAGUAAUACAUCGGAACGUGCCCGAUCGUGGGGGAUAACGAAGCGAAAGCUUUGCUAAUACCGCAUACGAUCUACGGAUGAAAGCAGGGGACCGCAAGGCCUUGCGCGAACGGAGCGGCCGAUGGCAGAUUAGGUAGUUGGUGGGAUAAAAGCUUACCAAGCCGACGAUCGGUAGCUGGUCUGAGAGGACGACCAGCCACACUGGGACUGAACCACGGCCCAGACUCCAACGGGAGGCAGCAGUGGGGAAUUUUGGACAAUGGGCGAAAGCCUGAUCCAGCCAUGCCGCGUGCAGGAUGAAGGCCUUCGGGUUGUAAACUGCUUUUGUACGGAACGAAAAGACUCUGGUUAAUACCUGGGGUCCAUGACGGUACCGUAAGAAUAAGCACCGGCUAACUACGUGCCAGCCGCCGCGGUAA